rnacentral:rRNA from 1 species
GCAGGCGCGAAACCUUUACACUGCACGACAGUGCGAUAGGGGGGUCCCAAGUGCACAGGCAUAGCGCCUGUGCUUUUCGGUACCCUAAGGCGGUACCAGAAUAAGGGCUGGGCAAGACCGGUGCCAGCCGCCGCGGUAAUACCGGCAGCCCAAGUGAUGGCCGAUCUUAUUGGGCCUAAAGCGUCCGUAGCUGGCCGUACAAGUCCAUCGGGAAAUCCACCUGCUCAACAGGUGGGCGCCCGGUAGAAACUGUGCGGCUUGGGACCGGAAGGCGCGACGGGUACGUCCGGGGUAGGAGUGAAAUCCCGUAAUCCUGGACGGACCGCCGAUGGCGAAAGCACGUCGCGAGAACGGAUCCGACAGUGAGGGACGAAAGCCAGGGUCUCGAACCGGAUUAGAUACCCGGGUAGUCCUGGCCGUAAACAAUGUCUGCUAGGUGUGGCUCCCACUACGAGUGGGUGCUGUGCCGUAGGGAAGCCGCUAAGCAGACCGCCUGGGAAGUAUGUCCGCAAGGAUGAAACUUAAAGGAAUUGGCGGGGGAGCACUACAACCGGAGGAGCCUGCGGUUUAAUUGGAUUCAACGCCGG